UCUAAUCAAUUUCAAAAUAGGUAGGAAUUAUCUUCUUCAUUGUUAUUUUUUCUCUCCCUAAAUUCUUAGUUGAUGAAAUUUGUACACAUGAAGACAAACAACCACAAAAGAUAUUAGGUUUAAUUGCAUAGAUUGAUGAUAUUAUCAAGAAUCAUAAAUUGUGGAUGUUUCAGAAGUCUAACCGAAAGAUGAGGAUAUUCAUGAUACUACCAAAAAUCAACAAGAAAUAGAGAAUUUUUCAGAACUCCAACCUAUAUAUGAAAAUAUUCAUAUUACUGCAGAAGCAAGUCCACAUAAGAAUGUAUUAGUAUGAUCAGAAAAUUUAGUAUUAUGAUACAUUAUCAGAUGUUUGAUACAUCAAAAUUUGUUUGUGUAUGAUACAUUAUAAAUUUAAUGUAUCCUGACUUAUACUACAUGCUGCUUCUUUAGGAUGAUGAACCAGAUCAAGGCCCUCAAGAUCUUAAUGAAGCAACAACGAAUGAAGACACAUAAAUAAUAAUACAUCAUGCACUAAUUUAUUAAGCAUAAUA